GGGGGUGGAUUGGCAUCACCUGCUCCGAAACCAACAAACGGACGGUUGCAGGAUUGGGGUUCAAUUCCCCACAUCUCCACCA
rnacentral:tRNA from 1 species